GACGAACGCUGGCGGCGUGCUUAACACAUGCAAGUCGAACGUGAUUUUUGUGGAAAUUCUUUUGGGAAUGGAAAUGAAAUGAAAGUGGCGAACGGGUGAGUAACACGUGAGCAACCUACCUUACACAGGGGGAUAGCCGUUGGAAACGACGAUUAAUACCGCAUGAGACCACAGAAUCGCAUGAUAUAGGGGUCAAAGAUUUAUCGGUGUAAGAAGGGCUCGCGUCUGAUUAGCUAGUUGGAAGGGUAAAGGCCUACCAAGGCGACGAUCAGUAGCCGGUCUGAGAGGAUGAACGGCCACAUUGGAACUGAGACACGGUCCAAACUCCUACGGGAGGCAGCAGUGGGGAAUAUUGCACAAUGGGGGGAACCCUGAUGCAGCGACGCCGCGUGAGCGAAGAAGGUUUUCGAAUCGUAAAGCUCUGUCCUAUGAGAAGAUAAUGACGGUAUCAUAGGAGGAAGCCCCGGCUAAAUACGUGCCAGCAGCCGCGGUAAUACGUAUGGGGCGAGCGUUGUCCGGAAUUAUUGGGCGUAAAGGGUACGUAGGCGGUUUUUUAAGUCAGGUGCGAAAGCGUGAGGCUUAACCUCAUUAAGCACUUGAAACUGGAAGACUUGAGUGAAGGAGAGGAAAGUGGAAUUCCUAGUGUAGCGGUGAAAUGCGUAGAUAUUAGGAGGAAUACCGGUGGCGAAGGCGACUUUCUGGACUUUUACUGACGCUCAGGUACGAAAGCGUGGGGAGCAAACAGG
rnacentral:rRNA from 1 species